ACAUUACCUCCGAUACAUGUUUACAGCCCUGACCAAAGCAGACACAUUCCCAGAGUUCAGUGCUAAGGCAGAGUCUGAUGACAAACAGAUCACUUACUACAGUAAUGAAAAAAGAGCCUGGGUAAGAAAGAAUCUGACUGACUGGACCGAAGCUCCAGAAGCACCUGAUUCUAGAGAAAAGUUCCUAAAUCUGCUGUACUUUCUGUCAAAGUCCACAACUGAGGAUGAGCUUCAUGUUCUUCAGAGAACAGUUGGCUGUAAACUGGAGAAACAUCCUAAUGGAACAGUGAAAAGUCUGGUGACCUUUGAUAAAUAUGGAUUUGAUGGAGAGGAUUUGAUUACCUUUAAUCCUGACACUAUGAAAUGGAUUGUUUGAUGCCAAAGAAACAAAAAAGGAAUGGGAUCAUCAAAUUAGACGCAACAAACCCGUCAAGGAUUUCCGCAAGACCUGCACUGACUGGAUCCUCACAUUUAACAACACAAUAAAGAUUAAACCAGAUGUCUUUGUGGGGAAAGCUGCUGCUGAUGAUGAAAGUAAGAUAGUUCUGACGUGUCUGGCCACUGGUUUCUACCCCAGAGAUGUUCAGAUGAACAUUAGAUUGAACAGAACUGUUCUUGAGAACCAAACAUCUUCUGGAAUCAGAGCAAAUGGUGAUGAAACCUUUCAGAUGAGAAUCAGUGUGAAGAUCGACAGAAACCAAAAAGGGUGUUAUGACUGUCUGCUCAUUCACAGCAGUCUGACUGAACCAGUUUCAGUAGAAUGGGAUGGAAAAUGUUUUAAACCAGAACCUCGAUGGUCUGUUAUAGGAGGAGUAGCAGUUCUAGUUCUAGCUCUAGUUCUAAUUCUAGUUGCAGCUCUGAUUACUUGCUGUGUCUACAAAUGGAGAAACUCAGAUGGUCUGGUGAGAAAUCAUCCCUCUUAUGGCGCAGUGAGUGAUCAGAUACAGAUGACCAGUGCAGCGUCUGCUGAUGUGAUUCAAUCAUGAGCUCAAUGCUGAUGGAUCUACAGACUGGACUGGGACGUGCACAAGUUUAUGGGCAUUGAAUGAAAUGUUUUUCAUGUCCAUUC